CCUACGGGAGGCUGCAGUGAGGAAUAUUGGUCAAUGGGCUGACGCCUGAACCAGCCAAGUCGCGUGAGGGAAGACGGCCCUAUGGGUUGUAAACCUCUUUUGUCAGGGAGCAAAAGGCGCUACGUGAAGCGUUAUGGAGAGAACCUGAAGAAAAAGCAUGGGCAAACCCGGGGCACGAAGUCGCGGUACUACGGCGGAUGCGAGCGUUAUCGGGUUUUCUUGGGUUUAAAGGGUGCGUAGGCGGAAGGCCAAGUCAGCGGUAAAAUCGCGGGGCUCAACCUCGCUCCGCCGUUGAAACUGGCGUUCUUGAGUGGGCGAGAAGUCUGCGGAAUGCGUGGUGUAGCGGUGACAUGCUUAGAUAUCACGCAGAACUCCGAUUGCGAAGGCAGCAUACCGGCGCCCAUCUGACGCUGAGGCACGAAAGCGUGGGUAUCGAACAGGAUUAGAUACCCCUGUAGUC
rnacentral:rRNA from 1 species